GAUUUCUGGUUUGGUGCGCCUGGUCCGCCCCGAGUUAGGUGUGUGAGUACCGGUGCGCGCCUACCAUCCUUCUGGGGAGCGAGUCUACCCUUUACUGGGCUGGAUUCGCGACCUAGAUCGUUUACUUUGAAAAAAUUAGAGUGUUUAAAGCAGGCUUAUUGCUCUGAAUACAUUAGCAUGGAAUAAUAAGAUAGGACUUUGGUUCUAUUUUGUUGGUUUCUAGGACUGAAGUAAUGAUUGAUAGGGACAGUUGGGGGUGCUAGUAUUCAGCGGCCAGAGGUGAAAUUCUUGGAUUCGCUGAAGACUAACUUAUGCGAAAGCAUU
rnacentral:rRNA from 1 species